GGGUGCGAAUACUAUGUAUGGACCAUUGCUUUGAACCGGUGGAAGAGUGGCAGAGUGAUUGCAGUCGCCUUUGGCAGAGAGAGCAGAGAAAAAAAAAACGAAACAAAAACGCAUCUCCAAGUUAUGAGAGGGCAGCUUGAGUAUUGAAAAAAAAGACACUACUCUCAACUUCACCAUUCACUCUCUACUCAACCAAAUCCACUUCCUCCAUUCACAUAUACAGAUUAAAAAAAAAAAAAAAACCUCCAGCACCCAACCACAUUUUCCCUUUCACUCAUAAUCAUUCACCUCUGCCAUCAAACAGAAGCCAUUUUUUCCUCAUU
rnacentral:lncRNA from 1 species